rnacentral:rRNA from 1 species
UACAGAGGUCUCAAGCGUUGUUCGGAUUCAUUGGGCGUAAAGGGCGUGUAGGUGGCGCCGUAAGUCGGGUGUGAAAUUUCGGAGCUUAACUCCGAAACUGCAUUCGAUACUGCGGUGCUUGAGGACUGGAGAGGGGACUGGAAUUCAUGGUGUAGCAGUGAAAUGCGUAGAGAUCAUGAGGAAGACCAGUGGCGAAGGCGGGUCUCUGGACAGUUCCUGACACUGAGGCACGAAGGCCAGGGGAGCAAACGGG